UCAAAUGAACUGCAAAACCUGGAAACUCUCAAGAACAAUAGAAGAGGGUUGCAGCUUAAGUGGCCAGCUUGCUAGCCAGACCAUCCAUGGGAAAGCAGUGGACUUCUGCAUCCAAGAUUUAUAAGCUGUGAUCUUUGGCAGAUCCUAUAUAGGUGAUGAAGAUACGAAGAUGUCAAGACAUGACUUUUGCUUUCAAACACAAGAGGUGGAGACAGACUUGUUGGCAGAUUUCUGUUGUAAUUUGCUAUGUGAGACCCUCUGGAGGGAUUGUGCGGAGGCCUAUGGAUUCAUAAAAAAAACAGAAUCGGAUCACAGAUGGACUGAGGACCUGUCUUUGAGAAGUACUGGACCCAAGAAGCAUGGUAAGUUUGACUUUUAUUACUAGCUGCCUUGGCCCACUAGUGAACAACUUCUAGACUUAGCCUUUUAAGUUUCUUC